UAGGGAAUCUUCCGCAAUGGACGAAAGUCUGACGGAGCAACGCCGCGUGAGUGAAGAAGGAUUUCGGUUCGUAAAACUCUGUUGUUAGGGAAGAAAAAAUGUAUAGUAACUAUAUACAAAAGAGACGGUACCUAACCAGAAAGCCACGGCUAACUACGUGCCAGCAGCCGCGGUAAUACGUAGGUGGCAAGCGUUGUCCGGAAUUAUUGGGCGUAAAGGGCGCGCAGGUGGUUUAGAAAGUCUGAUGUGAAAGCCCACGGCUCAACCGUGGAAGGUCAUUGGAAACUAAUAAACUUGAGUGCAGGAGAGAAAAGUGGAAUUCCUAGUGUAGCGGUGAAAUGCGUAGAGAUUAGGAGGAACACCGGUGGCGAAAGCGGCUUUUUGGCCUGCAACUGACACUGAGGCGCGAAAGCGUGGGGAGCAAACAGG
rnacentral:rRNA from 1 species